rnacentral:rRNA from 1 species
AGCGAACGCUGGCGGCAGGCCUAACACAUGCAAGUCGAACGCACCCUUCGGGGUUAGUGGCGGACGGGUGAGUAACCCGCGGGCACGUGCCUUUAGGUUCGGAAUAACUCAGGGCCACUUGUGCUAAUACCGAAUGUGCCCUUCGGGGGAAAGAUUUAUCGCCUUUAGAGCGGCCCGCGUCUGAUUAGCUCGUUGGUGAGGUAAUGGCUAACCAAGGCUACGAUCAGUAGCUGGUCUGAGAGGAUGACCGGCCACAUUGGGACUGAGACACGGCCCAAACGCCUACGGGAGGCAGCAGUGGGGAAUCUUGCGCAAUGGGCGAAAGCCUGACGCAGCCAUGCCGCGUGGAUGAUGAAGGUCUUAGGAUUGUAAAAUCCUUUCACCGGUGAAGAUAAUGACUGUAGCCGGAGAAGAAGCCCCGGCUAACUUCGUGCCAGCCGCCGCGGUAAUAC